rnacentral:rRNA from 1 species
AUACGUAGGGGGCGAGCGUUGUCCGGAAUGAUUGGGCGUAAAGGGCGCGAAGGCGGCCCGGUAAGUCUGGAGUGAAAGUCCUGCUUUUAAGGUGGGAAUUGCUUUGGAUACUGUCGGGCUUGAGUGCAGGAGAGGUAAGUGGAAUUCCCAGUGUCGCGGUGAAAUGCGUAGAGAUUGGGAGGAACACCAGUGGCGAAGGCGACUUACUGGACUGUAACUGACGCUGAGGCGCGAAAGUGUGGGGAGCAAACAGGAUUAGAUACCCUGGUAGUCCACACUGUAAACGAUGAAUGCUAGGUGUAGGGGGUAUCGACCCCUUCUGUGCCGCAGUUAACACAAUAAGCAUUCCGCCUGGGGAGUACGGCCGCAAGGUUGAAACUCAAAGGAAUUGACGGGG